rnacentral:misc_RNA from 1 species
UGCAUUCGAAGUGGUAGUGACCCAGGAGUUAUCCAAAUAAAAAACAAUAAACAAAGUGAAAAAUGAACGAGCCUUGGCUAACGGUGAAAACCGGUUUAUUUCAAUUUGUAUGACAAAACUUGAAAUUACACCGAGAAAUGAAAGACGGAGCAUGUACAUUUAUUAGAACCUCAUCUAUCCGAGGAUGAUGAGAUGCCCUCAGCAAUUUUUCGAUGAGACAGAUACCGAGAAAUCCCGUACCACCGGUGAUAAACACUGUUUUGCCCCGGUAAAACUCCGUCACCGGCGAAGAAGCCAUAAUUUAUAUAUUUCACCUCCGUCAAAGAAGCAAACCUUCGGACGAUAGAAGAGAAGAUCCUGUGUGUGAACGACGUAUGUCAACGCCGCGGAGGUACAGGUUGAUUUCCACUUGGAAUAAAUGUUUGAGAAAUACGCCUGAAAACGUAUAUCCCCACCUCUACGCGUUAAGAAAUCUAUGACGUCAGGAAAGCGCUGUCCCGCUUAUGGGUUGCUCGCGAACGAUAAAUGUUAUUUUGCGACCGUGACCAACCGCGGGACUCCGUGGUAGGGACUGAUGACGAUACUAACUCGUUAAUAAAAAAUUGAAAAAACUGAAUUAGACAACGCAAUCCUGAUCACGGUAACCAUCAGGCGCCGAGAACUACCGACAGUUCAAACGUCGACUCUUUCCGUACAUUCAAAUCGCUUCUACGCGUUCGCUUGAAGCCGAACCUACGUAAAUGACAUCUUCUGUUUUACAGUAUUCAGGUGCCG